GGAGCAGUGGCAGAGUGGUUGAUCGCGACGGUCUUGAAAACCGUUGUACCGAAAGGUACCGGGGGUUCGAAUCCCUCCUGCUCCG
rnacentral:tRNA from 1 species